GAGGAAACUUGAUUUUUUUCCCCUCUUGAUAUUUUAUAGCAACAUCGCAAAUGGCUUAUUGAUAUUUAACUUUUUGUUUUUGAUUUGUUUUCCGGUAAACACUGAACAUGCUGAGCCAAUAACAAAUGCAGAACACUAAAAGGUGAGUCUAAAUAGUGUGUCCUUAUUUCAUGUAUUCCUAUUCUAUUUGAUACCAGUGUUGUCAUUCUAGACUUCAAGAUGUAAGUCAGACUUGUAAAUAGUUCUAUUCCUGAAACUAAGG